AUGUUGCCUACCCUGAUGGCAAUGAGAGAUGUUGUUGUCACCCAUGCCACCCGAUCAGCAAGUGUUGAAGUGGACGCUCUCGAGGUCAACCUAAACAAGGAAGAUUUCCGGUCAUCUGAUACGGAUUCCAAGCGUGUGACUGGUGGCACUUCUGUGUCCACGAAAGAAGGGGAUGCGACCACAUUUCAGAAUGAAAUGCCAUCCAUAGCUGACUCUCAUGUCACAACAGCUCCAGCGGCUGGUGGCCCAGAGUCUGCUACUGUUACCGUUGUGCGAUCUGGCCUGCCACCUAGGCGGUGUAGCCCCCGCAAGAUUCCUGCACAUGUAUCUAAUGCACCACAAGUAGUUAAGAGUAGCAGAGGUGACUCUGGUUAUGUGCCUGCUUCCACACUGUUCCCACCAUCUGCCAAAAGCAAUGUACCCGAUAAGACGGAAGUCAGUAGUACAACAGAUGCAGCUGGUAAGCCGUGCGCUACUGAAGGAGGUGGACGUUCAAAGUAG
rnacentral:rRNA from 1 species